rnacentral:lncRNA from 1 species
ACUGUCACCGUUCCGUUCCGUUUUCCUCUGUUUUUUUUUUCUUUCUUUCAAAUCCCCGCUUCGUGGAAAUCCCGAACCAGAAACCAUGCUUCUCCGAACCGCUGCUGCUUCUGCUUCGUCCCUCUCCCUCUUCAGCCCGAACGCCGAACCUCCCCGUUCGGUUCCCGCUCGUGGAUUGGUGGUUCGCGCAGCGAAAGGAUCCACGAACCACCGCGCCCUGACCGGAGUGAUUUUUGAACCGUUCGAAGAGGUGAAGAAGGAGCUCGAUCUCGUUCCCACCGUUCCGCAAGCUUCUCUCGCGCGCCAAAAAUACGUUGACGAAUCUGAGUCCGCCGUUAACGAACAAAUCAAGUUGCU